CUUUUAAACAGUUUAUAAAGUCUGCCUCUUUGCAGUCUGUCUUCCUGUUGAAUGAAUUUGUCCAAUAUAGGUUAUGUUUUUAUUCCUUUUAUAGUCCAUCAAGUGGUUCAGUUGUUCUCAUGAAUCUCAUUUCAGCAGAUGUACAAAGAAGAUGUCACCAUGUUGCACUGCCAAACCUCUGCAGACUCUUGUCUUGUGCAACCAGGUCUAUCUGGACCUUUUUGCGCAUGUAGAAGAUUGGACAGUCACGACUGAAAUAUAAGUCAUCAUUCUGCUUUACAAGUCUUCCACAACCAGAGAGCUUUAAAACAUAUCAUGGAAUCAACUAUCUGUAAUUUAACAGCCCAUGACAAAGCAAAGUGAACCCUGACAGCGCUGGCACUGAGUCCAAAGUCUGCAAAACCUGUCCUCCAGAGUGGUGAAACGUGCAAGCUCCUGCUGGUACAGACGGGCCUCAUCUGGAGCGCAGUGCUUACACAGGGGAAUUCCAUCUUCAGACAGAACAGCCUUACAGCCUAAACAUGUUUCCUUGCGCCGUGUAAAUGCUGAUAAGGCACCUACUCGAGAUGUUACAACUGCCUUAGUACGUGUAUGAUCACCUCCUGAGACAAAUAACUUAUGAUGAUUACUGUGUUCACUGACUGCUAUUUACUUAUGUUAUGAUUAACAAUGCAAUUUGCAUAAACACUCUCCUUACUCUACGUCAAUAACUGAUUCUUGUGACUGAAAUUCAAGGUUCAACACCAUGAACACCAAAUCCCAUCAUCCAACUACUUCCAUUUAUCCACCAUCCACACAACUUGUCUCUCAAAGAUAAAUAUUCUGUUAUUCUUCAAUCAAUUUUACACUUUAGGUAGUGUUUUGCUGAACCUGACAUUAGACUGGAAAUAGAAGUUGGUGUUAGUACAACAACUAAGAAUCCUCAGAUUAUUUAGAUAUCCUAUGUUGACAAAAUUAAAAUCCGAAAUAAACAGCAGAAGCUCAAUAAAAUAUCUAUUUUGAGACAGACCCAUA